rnacentral:rRNA from 1 species
UACGUAGGGUGCAAGCGUUGUCCGGAAUUAUUGGGCGUAAAGAGCUCGUAGGCGGUUUGUCGCGUCUGCCGUGAAAGUCCGGGGCUCAACUCCGGAUCUGCGGUGGGUACGGGCAGACUAGAGUGAUGUAGGGGAGACUGGAAUUCCUGGUGUAGCGGUGAAAUGCGCAGAUAUCAGGAGGAACACCGAUGGCGAAGGCAAGUCUCUGGGCAUUAACUGACGCUGAGGAGCGAAAGCAUGGGGAGCGAACAGG